rnacentral:rRNA from 1 species
CUACGGGUGGCACCAGUGAGGAAUAUUGCACAAUGGGGGGAACCCUGAUGCAGCAACGCCGCGUGGAGGAUGACGCAUUUCGGUGUGUAAACUCCUUUUAUAUGUCAAGAAAAUGACGGUAGCAUAUGAAUAAGCACCGGCUAACUCCGUGCCAGCAGCCGCGGUAAUACGGAGGGUGCAAGCGUUAUUCGGAAUCACUGGGCGUAAAGGACGCGUAGGCGGGUUAUCAAGUCAGGUGUGAAAUCCUAUGGCUUAACCAUAGAACUGCACUUGAAACUGGUAACCUAGAGUAUGGGAGGGGCAGAUGGAAUUAGUGGUGUAGGGGUAAAAUCCGUAGAUAUCACUAGGAAUACCGAAAGCGAAGGCGAUCUGCUGGAACAUAACUGACGCUAAGGCGUGAAAGCGUGGGGAGCAAACAGGAUUAGAUACCCGCGUAGUC